CCUGGUUGAUCCUGCCAGUAGUAUAUGCUUGUCUCAAAGAUUAAGCCAUGCAUGUCUCAGUGCAAGCCACAUUAAGUGUGAAACCGCGAAUGGCUCAUUACAUCAGUUAUGGUUCCUUAGAUCGUACCCACAUUACUUGGAUAACUGUGGUAAUUCUAGAGCUAAUACAUGCAAAUAGAGUUUCCGACCAGAGAUGGAAGGAAUGCUUUUAUUAGAUCAAAACCAAUCGGUGGGCGGGCUUGCCUUGCUCACCGUUUGACUUGGUGACUCUGAAUAACUUUGUGCCGAUCGCACGGUCUAGUACCGGCGACGCAUCUUUCAAAUGUCUGCCUUAUCAACUGUCGAUGGUAGUUUCUGCGACUACCAUGGUUGUUACGGGUAACGGGGAAUCAGGGUUCGAUUCCGGAGAGGGAGCCUGAGAAACGGCUACCACAUCCAAGGAAGGCAGCAGGCGCGCAAAUUACCACUCCCGGCACGGGGAGGGUAGUGACGAAAAAUAACGAUACGGGACUCAUCCGAGGCCCCGUAAUCGGAAUGAGUACACUUUAAAUCCUUUAACGAGGAUCUAUUAGAGGGCCAGUCUGGUGCCAGCAGCCGCGGUAAUUCCAGCUCUAAUAGCGUAUAUUAAAGUUGUUGCGGUUUUAAAAAAGCUCGUAGUUGAAUCUGUGUCCCACACUGUCGGUUCACCGCUCGCGGUGUUCAAUUGGCAUGUCUGGGGGACGUCCUACCGGUGGGCUUAGCCCCGUAAAAAGGCGCGGCCCAACUCAAAAUCCUACCAAGGUGCUCUUCACCGAGUGUCGAGGUGGGCCCGGUACGUUACUUUGAACAAAUUAGAGUGCUUAAAGCAGGCUCAUUCGCCUGAAUUAUUGUGUGCAUGGAAUAAGGAAUAGGAACCUCGGUUCUAUUUGUUGGUUUUCGGAAUUCCGAGGUAAUGAUUAAUAGGGACAACUGGGGGCAUUCGUAUUGCGACGUUAGAGGUGAAAUUCUUGGAUCGUCGCAAGACGGACAGAAGCGAAAGCAUUUGCCAAAUGUGUUUUCAUCAAUCAAAACGAAAGUUAGAGGUUCGAAGGCGAUCAGAUACCGCCCUAGUUAUAACCAUAAACGAUGCCAGCUAGCGAUCCGCCGAAGUUCCUCGAUGACUCGGCGGGGCGGCAGCUUCCGGGAAACCAAAGCUUUUGGGUUCCGGGGGGGGAAGUAUGGUGCAAAGCUGAAAACUUAAAGGAAUUGACGGAAGGGCACUUACAAGGAGUGGAGCCUGCGGCCUUUACAUUGACAUUGACGCAUAAACAGGAUUCUGUGAUGCCCUUAGAUGUUCUGGGCCGCACACGCGCGCUAAAUGAAGAGAUCAGCAGGUUUCCUUGGCCGAAAGGUCCGGGUAAUCCGUUGAAGCAUCUUCGUGCUAGGAUUGGGGCUUGCAAUUCCCCCAUGAUGAACGAGGGAAUCCUAGUAAGCGCGAGUCAUAAGCUUGCGUUGAUUAUGUCCCUGCCCUUUGUACACACCGCCGUCGCUACUACCGAUUGAAUUAUUUAGUGAGGUCUUCGGACCGGUGCGCGGCAGCGUUUCGACAUUGCCGAUGUUGCUGGGAAGAUAACCAAACUUGAUUAUUUAGAGGAAGUAAAAGUCGUAACAAGGUUUCCGUAGGUGAACCUGCGGAAGGAUCAUAA
rnacentral:rRNA from 1 species